rfam:Myotis lucifugus cont2.2518, whole genome shotgun sequence.
GUCUCUCUAAAAUCAAUGAAAAACAUAUUUUAAAAAAAGAUACAGAGAAAAUUAGCAUAGCCCUGGCACAAGAAUGUCAUACAACUUCGUGAAGUAUUCUACAUUUUU